UACGUAGGUGGCAAGCGUUGUCCGGAUUUACUAGGCGUAAAGGGCGUGCAGGCGGUUUGUUAAGUCUAGGGUGAAAGCUCCCGGCUCAACUGGGAGAGGUCCUUGGAUACUGGCAGACUUGAGGAGGGUAGAGGAGAGUGGAAUUCCCGGUGUAGUGGUGAUAUGCGUAGAUAUCGGGAGGAACACCAGUGGCGAAGGCGGCUCUCUGGGCCCUACCUGACGCUGAGACGCGAAAGCGUGGGGAGCGAACCGG
rnacentral:rRNA from 1 species